CCUACGGGCGACAGCAGUGAGGAAUAUUGGUCAAUGGCCGAGAGGCUGAACCAGCCAAGUCGCGUGAGGGAUGACGGCCCUACGGGUUGUAAACCUCUUUGGCCGGGGAGCAAAGAGCGGGAUGCGUUCCGCCACGAGAGUACCCGGAGAAAAAGCAUGGGCUAACUCCGUGCCAGCAGCCGCGGUAAGACGGAGGGUGCGAGCGUUAAUCGGAAGUAUUGGGGGUAAAGGGCGCGCAGGCGGAAUCGCAAGUCAGACGUAAAAUUUUAUGGCUUAACCCUUGAACGGCGUUUGAAACUGUGUUUCUAGAGUGUGCGAGAGGUACGCGGAAUGCGUGGUGUAGGGGUAAAAUCCGUAGAGAUCAAGAGGAACACUGAUUGCGAAGGCGACGUGCCAGAACAUAACUGACGCUGAUGCGCGAAAGCGUGGGGAGCAAACAGGAUUAGAUACCCUUGUAGUC
rnacentral:rRNA from 1 species